UUCACUGCUUUAGUUCGUAGACUCGGUCCGAUUCAGGGUGAAGGUGAGGCUUUGUUUCAUUUUCAUUUGGUUCGGUCAGCGUUCACACUGGACUCUGAUAGGCCGACCGUAUUGUAAACCAACGCCUCGAGGUCGGCGGGUCGUUCGUCUGUUGGACAGAACCUCCGAGGGAAACUCCCAACGCCUCCUAGUUGAGGACAACAGCAAUGGAGAAGCUUAGUGCGGUCUUGGGUUUUUUCUUCUGCUUUGAUCUACAAAUUAAAAAUCAUUUCGAGGAAAUUUCAUUUCAUUUCAACUGAAUAAUUUAAAAAGUAAAAAAAAAAAAGUCAUUGGUGACUCACACUUUCACCACAGAAUCCCUUUAUUUAAUCUUCAGACCAUAAAGGCAUAGGCCAUAUAGGCGGUUGCCUGGGCAUCCCACCCCUCAAAGGAAAAAAAAUAAUAAUAAGAAAAAUACAAUUCAUCGGGCGCCCUUCCCCAUGUUCUGCCGUGAGGUAACAAAUUAACAAAUAAAGAAAGAAAAAAAAAAAAGUAAUCCACUUGGCUGCCCUCAGAGGUUUCCUCUUGUAGCCUACUUUGUUCACUGAGAGUGGGGGGGUGGGUUACUGUUUGAUGCUGAAAAUCCCCAGAAUCAUUGAAGUGCAGAGACCCCAAACACCAGGACAGCGUCUGGACACCAAGAGUACAGAACUCUCUCAGAGCUGCUCCGAGAGAUCUGCUCUGACUGUAAAAUUGUACUUUGAAAGCUUUUUCAAAGUUGUUAGACAUUUUGUUACAUCUAUUAUUUUGUUGGUGAGAGCUGCUACCCUGGGACUGCGCCCAAAGUUGAACAUAUUUUAACUUUAUUGACGGUGAAAAAAGGCAGAAAGCGAGAGGCAGGCUUCAGGCUCACAAUUUAGAAGAUGGAGAAAAUAGGAGGAGGAGGAAAGGAAAGCCUUCAUGUGUGGUGGCUAGCUAGCUGCUCUGCAGCAGCAGCUACAGGUUUUGUUUGUGAUGUUAGGCUAACUUUAUCUACUCUAUAACCGUCCAGAUGGAGCUGCUGGAGAAGGGACAGCUCGUUACACAUCCACACCUCUCCUCUCCACGGAGCUUUCUGCAGGUCUAGAGACAUCCUUCCCUCCAGCUCCCUCCAGUGAAACACAGCCUGCAGAAACUACACCACUACUGUCCAGUGAAUCUCCUGCACCCACCGGGGACCAACAAGAACACACUUCAAGAACAACUACCCCUGAUGCAACUAUGGAUGGUCAUGAUGAUGACCAGAGAGUCUGGAUGCCCUCGCCUACCGGUCUGGUACUGGACAGCUAGACAUUGAGAUGGGUCCAGUCCAAACGCUGCCCAAAGAUCGUAACAGGAUUCUUUAAUAUCGCUGUUAGUCCCAAGUUUCCCAUCGACCGUGAUUCACUAUUGAAGGGGAAUGACAUUACAGGAGACAAAGUAACGCAGUUCGAGAAAUUCUCGAACAACAUGGAAGUGAAUCUGAUGGUUCAAACUCAGAAACUAGGAGAGGAAAUACACCAGUCUGAUUCCUUCCUGAUGCUAACUUUCACAGGAGAAGAGGCGUGGUGUGUUUAACAUCAUUAUUUGUGAAAUAAUUUGUGAAAUUUUGUGUUUUUGUUGUUUUUAAUGUGAAACUUUAAAUGUUUGUAUGCUGCCUUCUUGGCCAGGACUCUCUUGAAAAAGAGAUUUUGAAUCUCAAUGAGAAUAUUCCUGGAAAAAUAAAGGU